rnacentral:rRNA from 1 species
UGGGGGAUAUUGCACAAUGGGCGGAAGCCUGAUGCAGCGACGCCGCGUGGGGGAUGAAGGCCUUCGGGUUGUAAACUUCUUUUGCUCUGAACAAGGCAUGCUAAUGGGUGUGUUGAGUGUAGGGGUUGAUUAGCGCCGGCUAACUACGUGCCAGCAGCCGCGGUAAUACGUAGGGCGCGAGCGUUGUCCGGAAUUAUUGGGCGUAAAGGGCUUGUAGGUGGCUGGUUGCGUCUGUCGUGAAAGCUCAUGGCUUAACUGUGGGUUUGCGGUGGGUACGGGCUGGCUUGAGUGCAGUAGGGGAGGCUGGAAUUCCUGGUGUAGCGGUGGAAUGCGCAGAUAUCAGGAGGAAUACCGGUGGCGAAGGCGGGUCUCUGGGCUGUUACUGACACUGAGGAGCGAAAGCAUGGGGAGCGAACAGG